rnacentral:misc_RNA from 1 species
GAUGAAGAACGUAGUGAAAUGCGAUACGUAAUGUGAAUUGCAGAAUUCAGUGAAUCAUCGAGUCUUUGAACGCACAUUGCGCCCCCUGGUAUUCCGGGGGGCAUGCCUGUCCGGGCGUCAUUGCUGCCCUCAAGCACGGCUUGUGUGUUGGGCCUCCGUCCUCCUCCCGGGGGACGGGCCCGAAAGGCAGCGGCGGCACCGCGUCCGGUCCUCGAGCGUAUGGGGCUUCGUCACCCGCUCUUGUAGGCCCGGCCGGCGCUUGCCGACACAUCAAUCUUUUUUCCAGGUUGACCUCGGAUCAGGUAGGGAUACCCGCUGAACUUAAGCAUAUCAAUAAGCGGAGGA